rnacentral:rRNA from 1 species
UACGUAGGGGGCUAGCGUUGUCCGGAAUCAUUGGGCGUAAAGAGCGCGUAGGCGGCCAGAUAAGUCCGGUGUGAAAGUCACAGGCUCAACCUGUGAAUGCCGCUGGAAACUGUCUGGCUAGAGUCCGGGAGGGGCGAGUGGAAUUCCUGGUGUAGCGGUGAAAUGCGCAGAUAUCAGGAGGAACACCAGCGGCGAAGGCGGCGCUCUGGGCUGGAACUGACGCUGAGGAGCGGAAGCGUGGGGAGCGAACAGG